rnacentral:lncRNA from 1 species
GCGGCCCCGCCCCCGCCCGGCAGGAAGUGCGCCCUGGGCCUCUGCGGCUGUCCUCCCAGUGUCCAACGUUGCCUCGCGGAGGCCGCCGUGCGGAGCAAAUGUCUAACGGAAAUCAGAGGUGGAAAAGAGGUUGGAGGAGCCUGUUCCGUUCCACCCGCGUCUACUGAUGCGCCCACCAGCAGCCACGCUUGGGGCUGGGGGCUUUGAGGACACGCAGACACCAGGGGAAAGUGAAAAAAGAACCACAUUUGAAUUCUGCUUUGUCACUACAAGUGGGUGACCAUGAGCAAGUUACUAACCUCAGUGAACCUGUUCCUAACCUAAAAAGGAGGAGAAUGGAGAGCAAAAAAGGCAUCUGGAACAUGGACAUUCACACAUGAUAUGGCCCAGCAGUUCUACUUUCAGAACACAGUAGAAAUGCAUGCAUACAUUUACCAAAAGAUUGAUCCAAGAAUCUCCUCAGCAGUGCUAUUUGUAAGAGCGAAAAGUGGAAACCAGUCACAUGGCUGUCAACAGUGUAAUGCGUGAAUAAAUGUGAUACAUUCACACAAUGGAAUAUUGCACAACAGAAUGAAGGAACAACAUGGUGAAUGCAUCUCACAAACAUAAUAUGAACUCAUCCUUAUGGAUUCAGAAGACAAAGAAUACAAGCAAGCAGGAGAAAGUCUAAGAAGAGAGUUCACCUGGUGGGUGGCAACGUUCACAGCAAGAGUACCAUCCUUCUGUAACAUGCAUUCUCAAAAGAGCCAAUAUCACCUUCAAAAGGAUGUAAAUUGCUUCUUGGGGUAGGGAGGCCAAAAAAAAUCUUAAAUAUUAUAGUGGUUUGUGGCCCCCACAAAGUUCAGCCCUAUUCCUUAGUAUUUAAUUUUUCUUUUAGGGAGCAUUUAAACCUAAUUAACUCUUCCCCUUUAGGGGCAGUGAUAACAAAAAACAAAUUGAGAAACACUGCUUUAUAGAGAUGGAGGGCAAGCUCUAAAGCAGAAAAAGAAUAGAUUUCCUGGCUUCCUAAGGUAGACCUCCUAAGCCUUCCAAAAACCUUGGAAUUCCACUGACUUCCAGAUCCUUGCCAUAGGUUCUGCCACUGUGGUAGCUCCAGCCAUGCCAGCUCUGUGCAACCCUUCCUGUGCUUUGUAACCCA